UAAUACGAAGGUGGCAAGCGUUACUCGGAAUUACUAGGCGUAAAGGGCAGGUAGGUGGUUUGGUUAGUCUGUUGUGAAAGCUCCUUGCUUAACGGGGAGAGGUCAACAGAUACUGCCAGACUUGAGUAUAGGAGAGGGUACUGGAAUUCCCGGUGUAGCGGUGAAAUGCGCAGAGAUCGGGAGGAACACCAAUGGCGAAAGCAGGUACCUGGACUAUUACUGACACUCAGCUGCGAAAGCUAGGGGAGCAAACAGGAUUAGAUACCCUGGUAGUCCUAGCCGUAAACGAUGCACAUUAGGCGUGAGGGGUAUCGACCCCCUUCGUGCCGAAGCAAACGCAUUAAAUGUGCCGCCUGGGGAGUACGGCCGCAAGGUUG
rnacentral:rRNA from 1 species